rnacentral:rRNA from 1 species
UACGUAGGGGGCAAGCGUUGUCCGGAUUUAUUGGGCGUAAAGCGCUCGCAGGUGGUUCGAUGCGUCGUGCGUGAAAGACCCCGGCUCAACUGGGGCGGGUCGUGCGAUACGGUCGGACUGGAGGCCAGUAGGGGGAUGCGGAAUUCCGGGUGUAGUGGUGGAAUGCGUAGAGAUCCGGAGGAACACCAGCGGCGAAGGCGGCAUCCUGGACUGGUCCUGACACUCAUGAGCGAAAGCGUGGGGAGCGAACGAGG